UGCUGGAAAUCAAAGAAAAACGACCACAAGAAAAUGUGUAAGAGGUAAUGUGAUGACUUUCCUCCAUCGGGGAAUUAACAAGUGUCUCUCCCCACCUGGUUCAGUUGCAGCUGGAGCCCAGCCUGGCCGGGGGUCCUGAACUCGAAGCACAAGCCUGUAAAAGGUACAGUGGGACCCUCCAGGGAAACGAGUUCAUAAACCCCACGCGUAAAGCCGGUGUGACUUUUUACACCUUGUGUAGGAAAAGACUUCGAAAAUACAUACAUUUAUCAAUAAAUCAUGUCAGAGCUCUCUUCCAAAGAGGAAAAGAGGGGAUCCCUUUGAACUCGCAAGAACAAAUCCGUCCAAGUCCUUGACUUCUCAAUGUGUAAUGCAAUGUGACACCUGGAUGCUUCUAGAACUUUGAAUUAAACCAUCCACUCUAGUAAUGGCACAUCAGGUAGAAGAAAACCUAAGUGGGACUGGUGCCAGAUUUUUCCUUAUUCUUUGCCGACGGUGCUGCCAGGGGAUGGCUUUGUGAUGCUGUGUUAAGAUGUUUGCAAUACGCAUACACACGUAUUCUCCUCCUUCACCUGCCUCAUGCAGACACAAACCCAUUCAUUAAUUUACCCUGACCCCGUGGAACCUUUUUUAAAAUGUCAUAUUCAGCCCAUGUUUGCUGGGACAGUGGCUUGGAGUCCAUUUCCUCCCAGCCCACUUCAACAUGCAAGUUGUAAUGCGUGCAAGUGAUGGCUUCUGAUUCACCUUUUGAGUACCAGUUGGCACUAUGGCUAGGGACGUGUGUGCCGAUGGGGCACCAUUUCAUCCAGGCUGACAGAACACUGUCAGGGAUGCUGUAAAGAGGGCAAGAAAUCACUUAGCUUUGCAAGCCAUAAUUAAAAAUAAUAGGCUGAUGUUCGUAGGGAGACAUGGUGGGCACAACUCUAAUUUAAAACCAAUACGGUUUAUCUGGCAUCUUAUGAUUAUUUAUGUGCAUCACAGCCCUGGCUGCAUCAACUAAUUAUCAAUUGAUAGAGAGGAGGGGUAGCAGAAGAGACCAGAGAAAGGUAACUGCAAGUAAGGUCACUAUUAGGCAAACAUUAGGGACUUUUGAUUGAUGGGGAAAUGAAUUUCUAUCCACACCUGAACGCUUACUAUUUUUCUGCCCCUACCAGGUUUAAAUUGUGCCCAAGCAGAGUGCUUACUGGAGAUCAUCCCCUCAUAUGGUUUGGUUGCCAUUCACUAUGGUUGUAGGCUAUAACCAUCAGGAGCCAAGGUCAUCUGAGAAUCAGGGUGUCAAGGUGCUGUAAUUUUAGGAAACUGCUAUAAAGCAGACUUGGGGUUUUGGGGGGGUGCAUAGGGGGAGCGUGCUUCAGUGUCAGGUUCUGUGGUCACAGUUGACUUUGUCUGAAGACCAGAUUGUCAGAUACACUCAGGUGACCUGCUCGUGGGGAGGUGGGUGGCGUGGAGCAGAAUGGGAUGAGACUUGGGUUCGGAUAAUAGCAGGUAACUUGACUGCACUGGACACGUCCCAUGGGUUCAAAACGAACCCCUGACAUGACUUCAGCUUCGUGCAAUAGAAACUGGUUUGUUAUUUUCCCAGCCCCUGCACCCAUGCCUGCCCCCCGCAUAGCCAGUUAUUGUUUUGGUUUCUUUUCAGAUUGAUUCGUGUGGCUUGGGUCUCACGGACGUAAGUCCCUGUCAUCCAAAUUUCCUAAUAACCCUUAGCUUAGCACCUGGCACAUUUAUCUAACCGAUUUCGAGGGGCUGAUCUGACUCUUCUGCCUCCCUGUGUGGGGACAAAGGAGAGCAAAGUGCGUCUAAAGACAAAUGGAAGAGUUGAGAUGGAUGCUCAUCCCCAGCCCAAGCCCAGCACCAUCUUGGCCUCAAUUCUGAUCAGAAUUCAGGGGGAGAUGGUGUUUUGCAAAAUGUUCUGGCUAUCUGUCUUAGAUUUCCAUUUUCCUUUGCAACUGCCAAAACCACCAAACUGUGGUCGGGGGUUUGCCAUCAGCUCCCAAGUGUGGUGAGAGAACCCAGUCAGCUCAUCCCCAAAUCCAGGCUCCCCCAACUCCGCCCCAGAGGGGCUAUAAUAUCAGCCUUCAGACAUCACAACAAACUGGCCUUUCACAGUUCCACCAAUCCUGAGAAAAGAUCACAGUUGGCCACUUGGAAGAGCAAAAAGCAGAAUCCUCCCAAACCCAGUGUAAUCUUUUGCCACGAUGACCUUCUAAAAUGAUAUCGUGUUGCUCUUGCUUGCAUUCUUGGAAUGGUAUUUUUGCAGAGAAAUUCUGCACUUCCAUUGAUUCCGAACCAAGCUGAUGAGGGAGUGAGGGGCACGCAUUUUUCCCUCCAUAGACUCCGAAAGCACUCGCUAUUGACCUCAUUUCAUGGAAACCUCCAUUUGGCUACCGUGCUGAAAACCAUAAAUUUUAGAAAAGCCCUAUCUUUUCUCCAGAGUUGGCUUUGAGUCCUUUGCCACUAGGCUCAGGGUGAGAUGCAAUUUAAAACCCGUCACAAGAGGCUCCGGCUGUGGCGAGGAACACGGUACCUACCUAGGGCACCUGACACAAAGACCGCCUUCUCCACUCCCGGGAUUAGCUGUGCACAUCCCACAGUCUCCCUGCCUGAUUCAUGCUCAGUUCAACUGGUACUCACUGUCCUCUCCUCUCCUCUCUUGCUGGACAGUUAAGCAGCGACAACAUCUUUUAGUCCCAAGCCCACGACCCCUUUUGGCUUCUCAGGGAAUGCUCUGAGCUGGGGCAGCCUCUGAGUGACAUCUUUCCGUGACCAGACGUGGUGACAGUUUAAUAACGAGUUCUAACUUGGGGCUCAUCCCCUUUACGGUCUGCCUAUCAUUAGAAUGAGGCUGCGCCACGUUAGAGAAAUCACAUUAGUCAAUAAGCCAGCGCUGCUGAUACAAGAUAAAUUUUUUUUAUCCGUUUAAAAAUGUUUGUUUUAAAAAAGCACUUUAAUCAAUCACUGUCAAAUGACUUUCAUGCCACUUUUGGGGGCAUCGGUCCCUAAUUCCCAAACGAUGAAACAGCCGUAUAAAGGAAACAUUUUCUUAACAACUCCGUUAUAAACUAUCUGAAGCAGCGUCCUGCUGCUUGUCACCACUACUCGCUGACCCAUCGUGAUAAGGUAAUAGCUAUCUCUUGACAUACAGACACUGGCUAGAGUUGUGGGUUCCCCUAAUUUUGUAAGAACCGUUUAUGGGAAGCGUGCGGGCUUUAUGCAGUUGCUGGUCAUGGGGACCGGGGGGGGGGUGGCAUCUCCGCCCUACAGCAGUAGCCGUGAGCUGGGGUGUGGAGGACACGGCACCGAGGAGUUCUGGGAAGCCCAGCAGGACACGUAAUCAUGCCUGAAUGCCAUCUCUGAUCCAGGCAAACAUUUGCGAGCGGCCAGAGAACUCUGCCAUCGGUCUUUACAGUGUAUGUAAAAUUACCCAGAACUCUUGCUCGGGACCAAGAGUAUCUGGGUAGUAAGGGCCCAUCGUUCUCUUUCAGAAAUCACUUGUCAGAAGGGCAGCCCCGUCUUCCACUAUGGAGAGGUGGGACUUAGGGAAGCAGUUGCUGUUUAUUUAUAGUGGGGGCCCUGAGAUCUAAAUCAUGCACCCCUCGAGGACCCUUUGUUGGGAUGAAAGUAUUAAGGAGCCGCCUUUCAUCCACAUGUAUUUGAUAACCGCUCGCCAUCAAUUUGCAGCUGUCAGCAUGGAAUACAAAUGAAUAUUGACUCUUUGAAAGAAAAAGGUACCGAGGUUUCUGAUCAACAAUCUAUGGUAAGGAAAAAAAAAACCCUCCCACAUAUUAAUAUUUGUAAUGCAUUGGUUAGUCCUCGAAUAUAACGUACGUUUUAAUAAGGACAAGUGUUCCACAAUUAAUGUUUAGUUUUCGGGUUUCAGGUUUCUCUAUUUUAAAAUGCAUGCUUCUUUAAAAGAAAGAAUAGAUUCCUGUCUUAAAGUAGAUUUAACUCUGAGACAUAUUAAAGAGUAGACACAGUCUCAUGGGAUAUCUUUACGUUCAAUGAUUUUGAGAGUCGUAGGUGUUCUAAGAUUGCUUUACUACAGACACGUGGAUGUCAGGACGCUGCACAGCAAGUGCUGAAUGAAUCAAUCUAUGCAAAAAGUGGAACUGAGUAAGCAAAAGCUCAGCCCGGAGCUUGGACUGGACUUGGAACCCCAAGGGCAGGGGAGGGGAAUAGCCCUUUUGCAAGUGGGCGGUGAUGACUGUGCUGAAUUCCCAGGACACAGAAGUUUGCAGGCAUCCCAGGAAGGUGUCGAAGGUGCCUCUUCGAACCCUCAAAGCUUUUCCUGUAACUCAUCUGGGCUCCGUGAAGCAAAGCAAAGCAACCCCUUCCCAAAUGCAGAGCCAGGCACAGAUUGAGUGGCCCUGUGGAUCUGGCAGAAUAAUGCAUCCCGGAGCCUGAACAGAGGAAAAAGGAGGCUGCCCCGAAGGCUGUGUGUUCCCUACUCACUGUCCGAGGACAAGCUUUUAAGAUGACGAGGGAGGUGCGGCUGGUGUGGGAACGAGGCUCCCGGCCUCUCCACUGGGGUGGCUGCAGCCAGCCCUUCACCCUGCUGCGCGGGCAGCUGAACAGAUGGUUGGGGAAUCAGCGCUCAUCACCGAACAUACCAGCUUCCACCGAAAAGCUGCGAGGCGGGAGACGGGAACAGGGGACUUUACUCAAAAGCACUCCGUCCUCCAUGUCGCCCUGCUCUUCUGGUGGGUUGCUGUGGGCGGGGACCGUUCUGGGGGUGACAGCGGCUUGGAUUUCCUGAGCGCGUACAGUCCCUGCCUCUGGCAUCGUGCAGAGAGCUUCACGGCACCAGAUUCUGACCCGCACACAGGUCCACAAGCCAGGGACAGUCGCUGUCCCCAUUUACAGAGAAGCCCGCUUAGUACCAGAGGUGAAAAGCCACUGGUUCAGCGCCACCCAGGGAAUCCCAGAGAUUGCCCCUCCAAGGCCCACACGUGCUGCGGUACAGAACCUCCUUCCCAGACAUGCGGCCCGCGUUUCCAGGCUGCCCGUCCCUGGGGCGUGUCACCCGUUGAGCUUCCCUGUGAGACCUGUUUGCCUUCCUCUCCGCCGCAGUGUGAUGCCCUGACACGGCCUAAAAUGAAGUGCAUGGGCCUCGGUCAUGUGUUGUUCACCUGAGAAAUGUUAAAAGGAGAUUUUCCCACUGUUGAUUCAGGCAGUGAACUAAAUUGAAAUUCUAUCCGUUUGGAUUAACCAAAAUUAAGACUCAGCACCAUCUCAGAAGAUCCAGGAGCAAAUGACACUUUGCAAAACAGCCACCUGAUUCAAAAUGCCACCUCCGGGUCUCAGAUUCACCCAGAGGUGACCCUACUCUCGGACGACGGGCUUUUUUCAAAAGAGUGACCGGAGCCACAGCCAGACCAGCCAGACCCAUGCAAUCUCCGUCCAACAGGCACAUACAUAGAAAAUGAGGAAGGCCUUUUAGGAGGGUAAUACUGACAUGUUACAGCAGGUCUGCAGAGGAAACACUGACCCAUCCCCGGGCCCACCCUCCCCCAAAUAACUGCUAGCAAAUUAAUUCCUACCAAUUCCUAACAGUGGAUGCCCACAAAAGCGCUCCCACAAUCCAGGCGCAGGUACAGGCAAACACAUCCUGUAAGUAUCAAAACAUACCUUUCUCCAUAGCCCUCAGGAGUUUUCACUAACUCACAGGCUGUUCUUCCUAUUUAUUAAGGAAGGGAAGUCCACUCAGUGCCUCCAACAGGAAAUUGAAGGAGGUCAGGAGAGCAGAUAUCUGUCUGUAACUGAGGAGGCUGUGAGAGUCCGCGACAAUGUUCUGGGGAACGCAUUGAACUCACAUUCAGAUCUUGGCCUUCCCGAAGAGGGUGUGUCCCUACCACAGUGUGUUAGGAUACUCACCGCUUGCCACAAGGAAACAGUUUCCCUACUAAAAAGAGAAUUGCCAGGGUGGAAAACCUCAGAGGUUCCUUCACAGUCGAUGGCCUCUCCCUGGGCAGGUGAAGGGCUGCCAUCCCCCAGGUGACAGUGGGACACAGCCAACGAGGGGCUGACGGCAGUCGCUCCAGGGGGAGCUAAGCAGGAGGAAAUGUCAGUCCACCACCACACAUGAAACUGGUCCUGGUGCGGGACACAGCCCCAAAUCACAGGGGACAUCUGGAAUGAGAUGUCCCCGGGGAACGGAGGGGACACAGCUUUCACGGAGCAGCGUACGGUCACUCAAGAGAAUCAUGGAGACGGGGUGGACUUCUCGUUUGCAAUUCAAGCACCUGGAAUAUCAUGACCCUCCAUCCGCACCAGACUCCAGAGACCACCCUUGUCUCCUUGAUGAAGGGGCACGACUCCAGCAAGACCAUCAAGGAGCUGUGAAGGACUGACGUGAAGACCAGGGCAGAAGCAGCCGCAAAGUCAGGAGGACGGUGCUGUCAUCCUCUGAGAAGCCUUUGCAGGAGCCAGCCCAGCGACCAGGCAGUUCGGGAUGGAAAGCUGGAGAGGAUCUUUUUAAGGCAGAACAACACAUUUGUCUUCACUAGCCUUCGGUUUCGGGGAGGGAAAGGCAGCCAAUCCCAACCACCCGAGGAGGCCCAGGGCCAUGUUUGCUCUGGGCGGGCCAGGCUCGCAGGCUUUUUGCUUAGCCUAUCAGCCCGACUGCAGGGCACAGUGACCCUGGGAGGUUUUCAGCACGGUGUUUUCAAUUUGGUGAACUGUUCUCAACGUUCCCUUGACAUGAAGGAGGCCCUUUCCCUACCCUCUUCGUGUCCUGGAACCCUUGCCAUAAACGUUCCAAGGGCUCCCGGACAGAUUUAUGGCUGGUCUCAAAAGAGUGGCGGUGGAAAAGUGAGGACGAGUUCCUCUUCCUGAGACCUACUGCUCUGGUGAGAGUUGAGAUGUGCUUUGGUGGAGCAGGAAGGGCUCGGAAGGAAGGAGGGACAGAGGACUGGCUAAGUACAGUCCAGCUGGGUGACAUUAUUCGCUGUCAACUGUCUCCCAUCUGAAUUCCUUGGGCAUCCCCUGCCAGCGCUGCCUGGAGGACCUACAUUGCUUUUCAAGUAGGGAGUCCCCUUGCCGGGGACGGAGAACUGUGCUGGGGCAGCCACUCUUCCAUGGGUGACUUUGGAAGGGCUCAGCAGAAGGGCCAUAAAAAUCUGCCAACAAAAUAAGCAUCAUCCUUCCACAUGGGACGAAUCUGAUGGCCCAUUCCUGAAAUUUUCCAAGGGGGCCACCUCGACGCUAGUGCUGAAGGACUACGGAGUGUUUAUAGGAAGUGAAAGAAGAGAUUUAGCUUGUGUUCAUUUGGAACAUUUCACAUUUUGACUCUCCUUCUUGAACCUCGGUUCUAGCUAGCUCUCUGUAUUGUAUUUACAUGUAUGCCUCUAUGUUUGCCAUGUAUACUGAAAUAAACCUUUGAAAUGAUGGCCGGGCAGAAUGAA